CUUGGAUCUGGACUCUUGUUUGUUAGUUUAAGUUGUUGGUUUACAAACGAAAUGUUGCGCCGUUGCUUUGAUUAUCAAGAUGAUGAAUUAUUAUUAUUAUGAUCGACUAUCGGCGAUCGAUGAUCGAUUCUGGUGGCAAAAAUGUAACUCUGUCUAUUUGUUGAUUUGUUGUUGGCUGGCUGGUUUUGUUGUUUUUUGGGGAAAUGAGGAAAAACUGCUUGCGUUACAUUCUCGUGCCGGCGUUUACAUUGUCUUUUUGUUGUAUUUCGAUUUGAGUUUGUCUUUGUGCUGCAUUCAAGACGGCAUCGAGACGAGCCCGAACUCUAGCCCCGACGCGAGACGUGCGACGGCCCUCAGGGCGGAUGAGUUUGAAGUUAAAGGAGGAGGAGGAGAAGGAGGAGAAGGCCUUGGCUCGCCCGCAGGUGGCAGCAUUUUGAUGGGGAGUCGGGGUAUCUGUUGUAGGUGGGGGUUUCGGGCUACAGGACGAGGACGAGGAGGAGGAGGCGGUGGGAGGUAGGUACAAUGUCUCUCUAAUGUUCUUACACUACCUCUCUCACUCACUCUCUCUCGCUGUGUCUAUUUGUCUGUGUGGUUCCACUCUUGGUUGCACUUCAAGUCAUUUUGCUUUGCACACUUUCACUUUCACAUUCACAUUCACUUUGCACUUUUUCGUUUCCCCUUGAACCCUCGUUCUUCGUUCUUCGUUCUCCUUUCUGCUUCUCUGUCUCUGUUUUGGUUGGUUCUAGUUUUUUUUCUAGUUCUUUGAGCGGGUGGGGUGGGGGAAACUGCUUCUGUUGCUGCUUCUAGUUCUGGUUGUGCCUUCGGCUUGGGGUUUUUAUGUGAUUUAUGCAGAUGCGAAGACUGCGCCGACUGCCGACUGCCUGCCUGCCUGCCUGCCUAGCACUGCCGCCUGCUAAUUUGCCUCGCCAGUUGCCUGCCGCCUGCUGCCGGCCUGCUGCCAGCUGCCUGGUCGAAUGCCUUCACGCAGCACACAGGACACAGGACACUGGACACACAAGGAGACAAGAACCCGGAGGAGCAGAAAAAACGCCGCAACUUGUUUCGCG
rnacentral:lncRNA from 1 species